CAGAUUUGCAAAACCUGGAUUCAUCACUGGCUGGAAUACAUUCUCCUAGGUUUCCUCCAGUUCUACAAUUCAGUGUCUUUUAUAUGAAUGCUCAGUUAUACAUAGUAACUCACAAGUGUUUCUCACCCAUAGUGUUUUCUUUUAUAAGAUGUUUCUGCUUUUCUUAUAAAGCUCUGUAACUAUUAUGAAGACCAUUUUUCACAGAAAUGUUAUAAAGUCUUUGAAAUCUGUCUUUUUUAAUCUUUCUCUUUUCUGACUUUUUUUGUCUCUUAGUAUAAGGAUUCUCAAAUUGUGAUUCCAUCAUUGGGUAUGUAUAUCAGAAUCACCAAGAGUAUUUUUUUAAUGCAGCUCUCAAGACUGCAGCCUAGAUUUGCUGGAUAAUGAAAGGAGAAAGGGGUGGCAAAUAGAAGAAAUCAGCAUUUUGAAAAAGCCCUCCGAGUGCUUUCUGUAUCCACUAACCUGCUUAUCUACAUGGUCUGGAAGGUGUACGUGAAUGUCUCUUGGAAAUUAGGACCAGAUGGCAAGGAGAAUAAGAAUGCAAGAAAAGCCAAAUGCAGACUAAAGAGAGGAGAGACAAAAGUUGAAAAGGAAGCCUACCUUACUUUCCCUUGCCAGACUUCUUGCUUGGAGGUUCAGAACCCACCCUACCAGAGGAGGAGUGUGUGGGCCACCUGUAUUCCUGAGCCUGGAGGUGUUCUGUGCCACCACACGUUCUCCACAAGUGAUACCUGCCCGGAGUUGCCAAAAGGGAAAUCGCACCAUGGUGAGACACUGCUGUUUGCACGCUGCCAAAGUAAGGGAUAACAAAUGAGGAAUCUCGGUGAAAAGUAAGCGAAGACGGCGUUAUAAUAUGAAUUCCACUUUGGAAUUCAUUCUGACCAGCAGCAUUGGUCUACGAUGGGUGGACUGACACUACUUUCAAUGCUUACUUCCCUAACCUCAUUUUCCCUCAGACCCCAGCACACACCCCAGGCAAAGAGACACACAGCUGUAUGUGCUUGGCAACUUGCUUCCCAUUUCAUUGUUCAGUGCUUCUGGAAGGGCAUCGAAUGCAGUUCUAGCCUGGGAACAUUUGGAAAAAUAAUACCGUUCGCGGUGUCUUUGUUUCUUCCUGAGUGACAGUUGAAGGUGACUUUCCCUUGUACAAUCCUGCCUGCCGUUAGCAAUUUUCCAAAAUUAAAUACCAUAUUUUUGUGUUUGAUAGGCACAGCUGUGUCUUACCAAGGGCAAACCCACCUGCACAGCACUCUGUGUUCAUUUAUAUACUGAGGACUUUAUUUAGAACCCAGUUUUAUGGGGAAAAAAAGAAGUCAAAUUGUGAGAACCAAUUUUGAGAGCAGUGAAUUCUUGGAUUCCACAUUGAGUUCUGAAAAGGGCAAAUUCAUUUGCUUCCAACAGAAGUAAUGUAGGCCUAGUCAAAAUCUUCGCAGUGAAGCAAAUGGGAUGGCUGUCUACCUGUGUGAACUAUGUGUGUAUUUGUCUCCGAAUCUAGUUUUUAAAACUCCACAGUGUUCUAUACCUGAUAAGAACAGGUGGAAAGUGGCCAGACCAAGUUUAGAGAUGGGUGUGAAAGUACUACCUGUGGUAUUUGGCCAGGUGAUUCCAGUUCUUAAAGUCCCUAUAAUAUCGUCUGACAGUUGUACUGUGAGGAGUUGAAUGCCCACAGUCAUUUGGAGCUCAAAAAAUUCUACAAUUUGGGGUUUGGGGAGGUGGACUUCACAAACUCUUUCGAUUGAAAUAGCAUCUUUCCAGGCAAAAUUAAUUUGCUACCUGAGGUAACGUUGCUUGACUUUUCAUAUUUAUGAGGGUUCACCAUUUUCCAAAGUGUUGCUCAAGGGACAUUUUCUAGCCCCAAAGUGUUUUUUUAAGAACAAAGUUUCUGUGGUAACUAUGUCUGAGUCAUAAUUCACAUUUCAAGGCUCUGAGAAGUCCUGCAGAAUAGAAAAUUGUUUUCCAAACUUAGCUGACCUUAUGCCUAAGAUAUCUUUCCUUUGUGCCUCCACAUUUAUUUUUCCACCUUCUGUAUUCAUGGAGCUGCUCUGUAUGGGUAAUAACAUUGGAUUUCCUUUCCACUGAUUUCUAGUUUUGCAGCAAUGAUGAGCACACUCUGGAGAAAGGAGGGAGGAGAAGGAUCAGAGGGAAGAGAAGUCAAGGUUACUAUUUCUCAGGCAUCCUUCUUAUACACUGACUGUAUUCUUCCAUCAGAGAUCACACUUCCUGCCAGCUGGGCUCAUCACACAGAGGUCCCUCCAGGUUCCUAUAAACUCUUCUGUCCCUGCAUCCGUUCAGACAUAGCCUGCCAACACACUGCCUUUUGGCAACUGGUUCUCCUUGUUAUUCAGCCCUGUUGCUCUUAAUGGAUUUUACUGUUAUCUAAGAGUGAUAACAAUUUAGGCCGUCAAAUAGUAAGCCAUGCCAUUUAUCUGUUUAGUCAAUAAAUAUUUAUUGAGCAUAUAUUUUUGUGUAUCU
ensembl:lncRNA